GUAGGUGGCAAGCGUUGUCCGGAAUUAUUGGGCGUAAAGCGCGCGCAGGCGGGUCCUUUAAGUCUGAUGUGAAAGCCCACGGGCUCAACCGUGGAGGGUCAUUGGAAACUGGGGGACUUGAGUACAGAAGAGGAAAGCGGAAUUCCAAGUGUAGCGGUGAAACGCGUAGAGAUUUGGAGGAACACCAGUGGCGAAGGCGGCUUUCUGGUCUGUAACUGACGCUGAGGCGCGAAAGCGUGGGGAGCAAACAGGAUUAGAUACCCUGGUAGUCCACGCCGUAAACGAUGAGUGCUAAGUGUUAGGGGGUUUCCGCCCCUUAGUGCUGCAGCUAACGCAUUAAGCACUCCGCCUGGGGAGUACGGCCGCAAAGGCUGA
rnacentral:rRNA from 1 species